GAUGAGAUUCGGCCUUUAAUUUCCUUAUUUCAAUUUCAAUGUCCACCUUUCCAUUUGCCGCACCAUCACAGUGCUGGUGCCUCCGUGAUCUACAAAAUCUGUGAUUCCAUAGCCUUGACCCAUAGCUUUUAAAGUGUGCCCAGCUGCUUUAAUUCUAUCGUGCAGAUACACCCAGAAAAAGAGAACCUGUUUUAGCAAAGCAGUUUGUUUUUUACCUGGAAUUGUAAAACCCAGCUAGCAUCACAAAUGCUUUCAAUGCAUUAGAGUGUUCUGCAAUUUCUCUGUUGACUUUUAUACUCGGGUAUAGGCUCCAUUAUUUUUCCUAACUUCUACCAAGAGGCCAAUUAUAGCCUACACAAUUACUGUCACUCCCCGCAGAACCAUGCCAGCAAUUUAGAUAUCUCACAAAACACUCUUUGGAUUUAGUUUAUUGUCCAGGUUUCGACAGUCAAGAAAAAAGUCGCUAAUGGCGUUCCUGCUAAUCUCUCUCCUGCUCAUUCCAGUCAUCACCAUCCAGUCUGUUAUCACGGUUUUCCCAGAAGAGUUUUAGUCCUUCCAGAUACCAGCGCUGUCUUCCACCAGCGCCUCCUACUCGCCUCAAGAUGUCACAAAGAAGAUUUAUGGUGAACCUCUUAACAGCAGAGACAAAACCCAAUGGUUUUGUCUGAUGGGAUCCUGACAUUUGUAAUUUGCUGAGGAUUUGGCAUGCUUGUGCUAAUAUUCUCAAAGUUUCUCUUGAAACUGCCACUCCCAUUAUUCUCUAGGAUUCCCUCAGACAUUAAUGAAGUUUGCAAGGCCAAUAAUAAAAAUUAUAAUAAUUAUAAUAAAAACUUUAUUUAUAUACCGCCCUAUCUCCCAGAUGGGACUCAAGGACAGUUUCCAAUCAUAAAAACAACACAAACAUUACAUAGCAACAUAAUAACACAUUAUUAA
rnacentral:lncRNA from 11 species